GCUGAAACAUAAAUGGUAUACCUUUGGCUGGAGCUGCUUUAAAACUGUUUGGUGGUAACAAUCGUGAAGGUAUUGCACUGGUUGUUGCUGAAACAUAAAUGGUAUACCUUUGGCUGGAGCUGCGUUAAAACUGUUUGGUGUUAACAAUCGUGAAGGUAUACCUUUAGUCGGUGCUGCAGUAACAUUGAUUCUGGGUGAUGUUUUGCUGGUUGGAGUAAUCGAAGCUGCCUGUAUCACAACUUUGUUGGGCCUGAUGGUAAGCUGCGGCAAUCUGGACCUUAAAGCUGACAACGUGCAACUUUUUAACGAUCGAUUCGUGUUUGCCGCUUCUCGAAACAUGUUUUCUACGAAAGAUGAGGAACACUGGCGCACACACACUGGCAGAGGAACAAUGGGACACUAAUUUUAAAUAAUAAAUCCAAAUUCACCGACGUAAUAUCACAA